GUGCCAGCAGCCGCGGUAAUACGUAGGACGCAAGCGUUGUCCGGAAUCACUGGGUGUAAAGGGUGCGUAGGCGGGAAGGUAAGUCAGUGGUGAAAUCUCACGGCUCAACCGUGAAACUGCCGUUGAUACUGCUUUUCUUGAGUUUGGGAGAGGUCGAUGGAAUUCCAGGUGUAGCGGUGAAAUGCGUAGAUAUCUGGAAGAACACCAGUGGCGAAGGCGGUCGACUGGCCCAUAACUGACGCUGAGGCACGAAAGCGUGGGGAGCGAACAGGAUUAGAUACCCUGGUAGUCC
rnacentral:rRNA from 1 species